rnacentral:rRNA from 1 species
GCUGGCGGCGUGCCUAAUGCAUGCAAGUCGAGGGAGAACCUCCUUAUUCGUAAGAAUCGGGUGGGGAAACCGGCGAACGGGUGAGUAACACGUGAGAAACCUGCCCUGGAGACUGGGAUAGCCCGAGGAAACUCGGAUUAAUACCGGAUACCUUCUACGGACCGCAUGGUCUGUUGAAGAAAUGGAUUCCGCUCCAGGAUGGUCUCGCGGCCUAUCAGCUAGUUGGCGGGGUAACGGCCCACCAAGGCUUCGACGGGUAGCUGGUCUGAGAGGACGAUCAGCCACACUGGAACUGAGACACGGUCCAGACUCCUACGGGAGGCAGCAGCAGGGAAUAUUGCACAAUGGGCGCAAGCCUGAUGCAGCGACGCCGCGUGCGGGAUGAAGGCCUUCGGGUUGUAAACCGCUUUCAGGAGGGACGAAAAUGACGGUACCUCCAGAAGAAGGCCCGGCCAACUACGUGCCAGCAGCCGCGGUAAUACGUAGGGGCCAAGCGUUGUCCGGAUUUAUUGGGCGUAAAGAGCUCGUAGGCGGUUUGGAAAGUCGGUCGUGAAAGCCCGAGGCUCAACCUCGGGACUGCGGUCGAAACUUCCAUGACUAGGGUCCGGUAGAGGUGAGUGGAAUU